UAGGGAAUUUUCGGCAAUGGGGGAAACCCUGACCGAGCAACGCCGCGUGAAGGAAGAAGUAAUUCGUUAUGUAAACUUCUGUCAUAGAGGAAGAACGGUGCAUGUAGGGAAUGACAUGCAAGUGACGGUACUCUAUAAGAAAGCCACGGCUAACUACGUGCCAGCAGCCGCGGUAAUACGUAGGUGGCGAGCGUUAUCCGGAAUUAUUGGGCGUAAAGAGGGAGCAGGCGGCACUAAGGGUCUGUGGUGAAAGAUCGAAGCUUAACUUCGGUAAGCCAUGGAAACCGUAGAGCUAGAGUGUGUGAGAGGAUCGUGGAAUUCCAUGUGUAGCGGUGAAAUGCGUAGAUAUAUGGAGGAACACCAGUGGCGAAGGCGACGAUCUGGCGCAUAACUGACGCUCAGUCCCGAAAGCGUGGGGAGCAAAUAGG
rnacentral:rRNA from 1 species